CCUGGUUGAUCCAACCAGUAGUCAUAUGCUUGUCUCAAAGAUUAAGACAUGCAUGUGUAAGUAUGAACUAAUUCAGACUGUGACACUGCGAAUGGCUCAUUAAAUUUGUUAUAGUUUAUUUGAUGGUAUUUACUACUCAGAUAAAUAUAGUAAUUCUAGAUCUAAUACUUGCAACAAACCUUGACUUCUGAAAGGGAAGCAUUUAUUAGAUAAAAGUUUGACGUAGGCUCUUCCCAUUACUGUGAUGAUUCAUGAUAACUCGGUAGAUCGCACGGCCGUCGUGCCGGCAAUACAUUAUUUAAAUUUAUGCGCUAUCAACUUUUGAUGGUAGGAUAGUGGCCUACAAUGGUGGUAAUGGGUGAUGGAGAAUUAGGGUUCAAUUUUGGAGAGGGAGCCUGAGAAACGGCUAUUAUGUCUAGAGAAGGCAGCAGGCGCACAAAGUACCAAAUCCUGACACGGGGAGGUAGUGACAAUAAAUAACAAUACCAGGCUCAAUGAGUCUGGUAAUUGGAAUAAGUAUAAUCUAAAUCCCUUAACGAGGAUCCAUUGGAGAGCAAGUACGGUGCCAAUAGCCGCAGUAAUUCCAGCUCCAAUAGCAUAUAUUUAAGUUGUUGCAGUUAAAAAGCUCGUAGUUGGACAUUUGGAUGGACCGGACUGUCGUUCCUCCCACGCUAUUACUUUGAAGAAAUUAGAGUACUCAAAGCAAGCCUACGCUCUUUAUAUAUUAGCAUUGGAUAAAAACAUUAUAGGAUUUUGGUCCUAUUACGUUGUCCUUCGGGAUCGGAGUAAUGAUUAACAGAGACAAUCUAGGGAAUUCAUAUUUCAUAGUCAGAGGUGAAAUUCUUUUAUUUAUGAAAGAUGAAAAACUGAGAAUACAAUUGUCAAGGAUGUUUUCAUUAAUCAAGAACAAAAAUUAUGGUCUCAAAGACAAUAAGAUACAGUCCUAGUCUUAACCAUAAAUGAUACUGACCAGGGAUCGGCGGAUGUUUCUUUUAGGACUCCGUCGGCACCUUAUGAGAAAUCAAAGUUUUUGGGUUCUGGGGNCGGGGGGGGUAUGGUCGCAAGGAAAAAAUCUAAAGGAAUUGACUGAAGAGAACCUCUAGGAGUGGAGCCUGCGACUUAAUUUGACUCAAUACGAGGAAAUUUACUAGGUCCAGACAUAGUAAGGAUUGACAGAUGGAGAGCUCUUUCUUAAUUCUAUGGGUGUGCAUGGCCAUUCUUAGUGUGUAGAGCAAUUUUUUUGGAUAAUUCUAUUAACGAAUGAGACCUCAUCCCGCCAACUAGCUAUGCGGAGUUAUCCCUUCACGGCCAUCUUCUUAGAGGGACUACGGCCUUUUAGGUCGUCGAAGUUUGAGGAAAUAAUAGGUCUGUGAUGUGCUUAGAUGUUCUGGGCCGCACGCGCUCUAUACUGAUGUAUUCAAUAAGUUUAUAGACUUGGCCGACAGGCUCGGGAAAUUUUUUAAAUUUUAUCAUAAUGGGGAUAGAUCAUUAUAAUUGUUGGUCUUCAACGAGGAAUUCCUAGUAAGUGCGACUCAUCAGCUCGCAUUGACUAUGUUAUACGCCAAAAUUACACCUAUCUUACGACAGAGUAAGCGGUCGCUAUAAAAUAUAGAACCUAACUGAGUUGAGUAUCGAAUCCCAUAGGGAAUACUAUGUUCACUAAGUAUUGUGAAUGUUAUUAGACUGUUGAUCUAAGGUUCCUGGGUAAAAGGGGGUUUG
rnacentral:rRNA from 1 species